GCUUGGUCCCUGUGUUCGGUGGGCAGUUGCAGGCGUACUGUCUAGGAGAUGGCUGCUCCACUUUUUCACCCUGCUCUAGGAGGAGGAGGUGGAUGUGGAGUAGGAGGUUGAGGAGGCAGUGACCACAGGUAACGGGGAAUCAGGGUUCAAUUCUGGAGAGGGAGCCUGAGAAAUGGCUACCACAUCCAAGGAAGGCAGCAGGCGCGCAAAUUACCCACUCCCGACGCGGGGAGGUAG